rnacentral:rRNA from 1 species
CUGAGUAAACUGGCGAACGGGUGAGUAACACGUAGGUAACCUGCCCUCGAGACUGGGAUAACAUCGCCAACGCGAUGCUAAUACCGGAUAAAGCACAGGAUUCGCAUGGAUUUUGUGUUAAAGUUGGCUUCGGCUUGCACUUGAGGAUGGACCUGCGCCCCAUUAGUUAGUUGGUGAGGUAACGGCUCACCAAGACUGCGAUGGGUAGCCGGCCUGAGAGGGUGAUCGGCCACACUGGGACUGAGAUACGGCCCAGACUUCUACGGAAGGCAGCAGUAAGGAAUAUUGCGCAAUGGUCGAAAGACUGACGCAGCAACGCCGCGUGCAGGAUGAAGCUUCUAGGAGUGUAAACUGCUUUUAGUUGGGAAGAACAGACAGGUUUCGAAUAGGGACUUGUUUUGACGGUACCUUUAGAAAAAGCCCCGGCUAACUCCGUGCCAGCAGCCGCGGUAACACGGGGGGGCAAGCGUUGUCCGGAAUUAUUGGGCGUAAAGGGCGCGCAGGCGGGAUGACCAGUCUGAGGUGAAAUCUUUUGGCUUAACCGAAAGCUUGCCUUGGAUACUGUCAUUCUUGAGUUCGGAAGAGGGAAGUGGAAUUCCUGGUGUAGCGGUGAAAUGCGUAGAUAUCAGGAAGAACACCGGUGGCGAAGGCGGCUUCCUGGUCCGAUACUGACGCUGAGGCGCGAAAGCGUGGGGAGCGAACAGGAUUAGAUACCCUGGUAGUCCACGCUGUGAACGAUGGGUACUAGGUGUUGAUCCUUUUUAGGAUCAGCGCCGCAGCUAACGCAUUAAGUACCCCGCCUGGGGAAUACGACCGCAAUGUUGAAACCCAAAGGAAUUGACGGGGGCCCGCACAAGCGGUGGAGCAU